GUUCAAGCGAGACACUUCGCUAUAAUUACUCACCGAGGCCUUUCGCUCGUCCUCAGAUUCAAAUCGCGAGAAAAAUGUUUGUCAGUUUUGUUAAUCAAAGCAUGAAUUUUCUGCUGAAUGGAGCUUCUAAUUCUUUGAAAACGCUGUCGACAAAGUUAGGGUUUCGAUAGGUUAUAGAAGGUUGGAAACAUUGAUUUCCGAAUCUAGGGUUCGAAAACGAGUCCGAUUCAAAUUGCGAAAAGGGGAAGAGGAACGACGAAUGAAGACUUGAAGCUACGAAUGGAUGGGCAGUGACUGAAAUAGAAGCAGAAAUGAUACUCGAGGCUCAGGAGAAAGAAAAGGUGGAGGUCAAAUUUAACCCUAACUUCAAGUUCAACAAGUUGGGCGAGUUUCUUAUCAAAAACCAGCUCUACUCAGAAUUUCUGCUUAAAAAAAUGGAUGGCAUCACCACCAACAAUGUAGUGAAUAAAGUUGAAGAAGAAACGAUAUUUCCGAUGUAGAAGAUUCUUCUAAAGAGAAGCAGGGCUAAAGAGGGAGGCUGUUAAGAGUGCUUCAAAGUUCAGCAAUGUGCAUAUGUUUGUUUGUUUAGAGAAAAGUGAGGACUGUCAUCGCAGCUAUGUUGACAGAGAUGGUCAUGCGUGCAUAUGGACCAAGGGUGGACUUUAUUCCUGGCAUUGAUUUAGUAAUAAGCUGUUGCGUUGGGUGCCUUCAAAACUCGUUGAUGGAGGGCAAUCCCAAAUAACUUUUUUCCUUGUAUAUCAAUGAUGCCAUUUGAGCCGUUCUUUGAUGAUUGUAUAUUACUACUCACGGAGUGAUAUCUUUUACAUGCUUCUAGUCUAGAUGUUUGGUAAUUCCAAGCUAACAUCAAAUUGGCUUUUUCUGUCAGGAAAAUCCUUUAUCUGUCAGGAAAAUCCUGUUCGUGCCAAUGGCCAGAUCUUCGGAAAUCCUUACAAUGAAGUUACAGUAAAGAAAACCUGCAGAAAAUGUUGAAUUGCUAACUUUUACUUCUCUCACUCACAGGUGUACUCGAAGGUCUCUGGAGAACCAGCUUUGAAGGUUCCAACAGUACAUGCCAGCUCCAGGAUCUUUAUGGAAAUAGAAUAUGAUUAUAGCUCUACUUUCUACUCUCUCCAACUGGUUUAAUGAUUUCUAAAGGUUUGUUCUCUCCAUGUGUACUAUCACAUAUCAUAGAACUGAGGAAGAAAGCACAAAGACAAGAAAAAAGUUCAUGUGUACGCUAAUCAUAGAACUAAGCAAGUAUGUUCUAGUGGAUGAGGGCCAUCGCUUGAAAUAUGCACCCUCUUAGUAAGGGAAUUAAAACGCUUACCAAUGGAAAAUAACCUUCUUUUGACUGACCCUGCUUUUUGAUUUUUCGAGGAGGGCCAACGGUGACUUAGAGCAGGAAAAUGUUUGCAUUAAGAGAAGGGUUGAGGUAAACUGGGACGAGGGUAUGGACUGAUGCGGCAAAUGUGAUGUUAAGGGUAACUCCACUAUCAAUUGGCUUCCGAAUGGCUCAUUGAACUAAAAAAAGUAUGUACGUCCACGUACUGCAGAAGUUCUCACGGUGUUCAUAGGUACAGGAGGAGAAGUCCGGCAGAAGUCAAUGACUUCGUGUGAAUAUCCUUUCAUUGUAUGGAUCAAAGCUUUGGAAUUGCUUAUUCAAAUGCCAUCAUGUAGAGCAAGAGAGACAAAAAAGAAGUGCAUAAUGAUGAGAAAGGACUAGUGUAAAGUUGGCAACAGCCCGUUCAGUGUUGUGCCAUUGACAUCAGAGACUAUUGAUCAGGUUGUACUUGAUGGAAAUAAAGACUUGUGAACUUGUAUGCACUAUGGUGUGGUCAUUGCAAAAAUAUUGCUCAACCUUUCGAAGGUAUCCAAUGCUUUAAACUGGAAGAGGAUGUUGUAAUAACUAACCUUGAUGCGGAUAAUUACAAGAAUUUGGCUAAGAAGUUAUUUGGAAAGGCACAAGUCAUAGUUGCGGAACCUAGAGUUUGUUUACGAUUAUAUUGAAUUAUGUCGAUCAUUAUGUGAGCAGAAUUAACAUUUGGCUAUUCAUCUCAUAAUAUUGAUUUCUCUUUCGUCCAUGAUUUGCAACUUGUGAAUUUCUUUUUCCAA